rnacentral:lncRNA from 10 species
AGGAACACUUUUACACUGUUGGUGGGACUGUAAACUAGUUCAACCAUUGUGGAAGUCAGUGUGGCGAUUCCUCAGGGAUCUAGAACUAGAAAUACCAUUUGACCCAGCCAUCCCAUUACUGGGUAUAUACCCAAAGGACUAUAAAUCAUGCUGCUAUAAAGACACAUGCACACGUAUGUUUAUUGCGGCAUUAUUCACAAUAGCAAAGACUUGGAACCAACCCAAAUGUCCAACAAUGAUAGACUGGAUUCAGAAAAUGUGGCACAUAUACACCAUGGAAUACUAUGCAGCCAUAAAAAAUGAUGAGAUCGUGUCUUUGUAGGGACAUGGAUGAAAUUGGAAAUCAUCAUUCUCAGUAAACUAUCGCAAGAACGCAAGAACAAAAA